GUGUCAGCAGCCGCGGUAAUACGUAGGUGGCAAGCGUUGUCCGGAUUUACUGGGCGUAAAGGAUGCGUAGGUGGAUAUUUAAGUGGGAUGUGAAAUACCCGGGCUCAACUUGGGUGCUGCAUUCCAAACUGGAUAUCUAGAGUGCAGGAGAGGUAAGUGGAAUUCCUAGUGUAGCGGUGAAAUGCGUAGAGAUUAGGAAGAACACCAGUGGCGAAGGCGACUUACUGGACUGUAACUGACACUGAGGCAUGAAAGCGUGGGGAGCAAACAGGAUUAGAUACCCGAGUAGUCC
rnacentral:rRNA from 1 species